AGCCGGGUCCCGUGCAAUGGGAGGCCGCCAACCCCGUCAGACCCGGAAGGGAGCAGCGGUAACGGUUAUUCCGUGUGCCGCGGGAGUGCCUGGCUGUC
rnacentral:SRP_RNA from 1 species